UACGAACUGUGCAAACGUUAUUCGGAAUCACUGGGCUUAAAGGGUGCGUAGGCGGCUUGCUAAGUAGGGUGUGAAAGCCCCCGGCUCAACCGGGGAAUGGCGCCCUAAACUGGCGAGCUGGAGUGAGAUAGGGGUGUGCGGAACUUCCAGUGGAGCGGUGAAAUGUGUUGAUAUUGGAAGGAACGCCUGUGGCGAAAGCGGCACACUGGGUCUCAACUGACGCUGAGGCACGAAAGCCAGGGGAGCAAACGGG
rnacentral:rRNA from 1 species